rnacentral:rRNA from 1 species
UACGUAGGGGGCAAGCGUUGUCCGGAUUUAUUGGGCGUAAAGAGCGUGUAGGCGGUCAGGUAGGUCCGUUGUGAAAACUCGAGGCUCAACCUCGAGACGCCGAUGGAAACCAUCUGACUAGAGUCCGGAAGAGGAGAGUGGAAUUCCUGGUGUAGCGGUGAAAUGCGCAGAUAUCAGGAAGAACACCCGUGGCUAAGGCGGCUCUCUAGUACGGUACUGACGCUGAGACGCG